AAAGACAGAAAGAGAGAGGUGGACAGAAAGAGAGAGAUAGGCAGAAAGAGAGAGAUGGACAGAAAGAGAGAGAUGGACAGAAAGAGAGAGAUGGACAGAAAGAGAGAGAUGGACAGAAAGAGAGAGAUGGACAGAAAGAGAGAGAUAGGCAGAAAGAGAGAGAUAGACAGAAAGAGAGAGAUGGACAGAAAGAGAGAGAUGGACAGAAAGACAGAAAGAGAGAGGUGGACAGAAAGAGAGAGAUAGGCAGAAAGAGAGAGAUAGACAGAAAGAGAGAGAUGGACAGAAAGAGAGAGAUGGACAGAAAGAGAGAGAUAGACAGAAAGAGAGAGAUGGACAGAAAGAGAGAGAUGGACAGAAAGAGAGAGAUGGACAGAAAGAGAUAGAUAGACAGAAAGAGAGAGAUGGACAGAAAGAGAGAUGGACAGAAAGAGAGAGAUAGACAGAAAGAGAGAGGUGGACAGAAAGAGAGAGAUAGGCAGAAAGAGAGAGAUAGGCAGAAAGAGAGAGAUAGGCAGAAAGAGAGAGAUAGGCAGAAAGAGAGAGAUAGACAGAAAGAGAGAGAUAGACAGAAAAAGAGAGAGAUGGACAGAAAGAGAGAGAUGGACAGAAAGAGAGAGAUGGACAGAAAGAGAGAGAUGGACAGAAAGACAGAAAGAGAGAGGUGGACAGAAAGAGAGAGAUAUGCAGAAAGAGAGAGAUACACAGAAAGAGAGAGAUAGGCAGAAGGAGAGAGAUAGGCAGAAAGAGAGAGAUAGACAGAAAAAGAGAGAGAUGGACAGAAAGAGAGAGAUGGACAGAAAGAGAGAGAUGGACAGAAAGAGAGAGAUGGACAGAAAGAGAGAGAUGGACAGAAAGAGAGAGAUGGACAGAAAGAGAGAGAUGGACAGAAAGAGAGAGAUGGACAGAAAGAGAGAGAUAGACAGAAAGAGAGAGAUAGACAGAAAAAGAGAGAGAUGGACAGAAAAA